CCAAAGAUGAGAUCCUGUCAUGAACCAAAGAUUAUUACAAAUGUGAUUCUGGACACCUGAGG
rnacentral:snoRNA from 10 species